UACGUAGGCAGCAAGCGUUGUUCGGAAUUACUGGGCGUAAAGAGUGUGUAGGCGGUGCUCUAAGUUCGGUGUGAAAACUCGAGGCUCAACCUCGAGACGUCGGUUGAAACCGCAUGGCUAGAGUCCGGAAGAGGAGAGUGGAAUUCCCGGUGUAGCGGUGAAAUGCGCAGAUAUCAGUAGGAACACCAAUGGCGAAGGCAGCUUGCUGGGCCGACCCUGACGCUAAGGCACGAAAGCGUGGGGAGCGAACAGG
rnacentral:rRNA from 1 species